CAGACUGUAACCUGCCAGGCUCCUCUGUCCAUGGGAUUUUCCAGGCGAGAACACUGAAGGCGGUUGCCAUUUCCUCCUCCAGGGAAUCUUCCCAACCCAGGAAUCAAACCCUUCAGAGAGGUGCCAGUAUCACUGGUCUGUGAUGCUCUAAGAGGCAAGCUUCCUGGUCGUCCAUAGUCUUUAGUGAUUUGCAGAAAGGAUUUCAACUCACCUCCCUGCCAGCUGGUGCCUGUGUAGCUGCCUGAAGCUGUGCUUGCUGGCUUACUCUGGAACUGUCCCUCAUGUAAGGAAGGAGUUCAGGAAGCUGGUCCAUUGUCCCUGACCAUUGUGACCCUUACCUCUCCUAGACUUCCUGAAUAUUUGACCCGACUACAACUACUAUGGGACUUGUAUGUACUAUACCAGAGAUCAGAAACCCAGGAUCAUCCAGUAAGAAGGCUUGGAAUGCUGUUUUGCUCCAGCAACAUGAACUUGGUCCAGACUCCAGGC
ensembl:lncRNA